GAUGAAGAACGUAGUGAAAAGCGAUAAGUAAUGCGAAUUGCAGAAUCCGUGAGUCAUCGAAUCUUUGAACGCACAUUGCGCCCACUGGUAUUCCGGUGGGCAUGCCUGUUCGAGCGUCAUUAUCCUCCCUCAAACCCCGGGUUUGGUGUUGGACCCAAGUUGUGUGAACAACUGGUCUCAAAGACAAUGACGGCGUCCGUGGGACCCUCGGUGCAACGAGCUUUUAGGAGCACGCAUCGAGUUGCAAGGACCUUCCGGGCCGGUCUCCUUUACCAUUUUACAAGGUUGACCUCGGAUCAGGUAGGAAUACCCGCUGAACUUAAGCAUAUCAAUAAGCGGAGGA
rnacentral:misc_RNA from 1 species